AGCGAACGCUGGCGGCAUGCUUAACACAUGCAAGUCGCACGGGCGGGGGCAACUCCGUCAGUGGCGGACGGGUGAGUAACGCGUAGGAAUCUAUCCUUGAAUGGGGGACAACCGUGGGAAACUACGGCUAAUACCGCAUGAUGCCUGAGGGCCAAAGACGAAAGUCGUUUGAGGAGGAGCCUGCGUCUGAUUAGGUAGUUGGUGGGGUAAAGGCCUACCAAGCCUGCGAUCAGUAGCUGGUCUGAGAGGAUGAUCAGCCACAUUGGGACUGAGACACGGCCCAAACUCCUACGGGAGGCAGCAGUGGGGAAUAUUGGACAAUGGGCGAAAGCCUGAUCCAGCAAUGCCGCGUGUGUGAAGAAGGUCUUCGGAUUGUAAAGCACUUUUGGCAGGGACGAUGAUGACGGUACCUGCAGAAUAAGCCCCGGCUAACUUCGUG
rnacentral:rRNA from 1 species